UGGAAAUUGUGAUUAAUAACUUUACCUUCUAGGUUAGAAGACCCUUCAGGGUAAAGUCUUGGUGGGUAAUCCCCUGAUUUAACUUCAGUAACAUACAUCUGAUCAUAUAACCCAACAAUAAAAUCAGCCACAACAAAACAGUAAUUCAGCCGCAUCAUAAGAGUAACACAGUCAUAACAUAACAUUAGGUUAUUCACGACACAAAUAUAACUCAGCCAUAACAUAACUAUAACUCAGCCGCAGCAAAACCCUAACUCAAACGCAACCAAACCCCCAACAAAACAAAAUCACAGCCGCAACACAACCCUAUCUCAGCCG
rnacentral:lncRNA from 1 species